ensembl:lncRNA
CAUUUUUUUAUCUGUCAUUCUUUCAACCCAUGGUAAUAAUAAAUAGUAUUCACGUGGGCCUUAAUUAUUUUAACAAGGAUGUAAUUUCUUAGUAUAAAAUCUGUUAUACCCAAGUGCACUUUUGUUUUAUAUUAUGAAAAAAAAAUACUAUUGCUUUCAAAAGGUUUUUUGUUUACAGUCUUUGAAAUGUGUUCCCACUAAACAUCAAACAUCAGCAUAAAAUGAUGUUGGAUCUCAUCCAUUCUCAAAGCAUCAUCCUACCCCUCUCUCUACCCUCCGUUUUUGUUCCUCCUAUAGUUCCUUGUUGGUUUGUUUUUUAAAUGAUCAACCACUCAUGCAUCACAAGGUCUGUUAUUAUCCCCAUUUACAGAUGGGGAUACUCUGGUAUAAAAAAAUUCUUUAAAUGUGAAUCCAUCACAUUUUAGUAAUUAGAUUUCUAUCCAUCUACUUAUUCAAACAAGGAAUGCCAGAAUGUUGAAGAACUGAAGAACAUAAGUGUGAAAGUUACACCAUAAGGUAAGAAAAAAUGUAAUAAACUAUGAAAAUUUAAAAAAAAAAGCAUCCAACAGUCUGAAACAGCAAAAGAACUUGGGGGCCAAGCAUAGGGAUAUUACGAUGAAAAGUGGCAAUGAAAUAUGGAUAAGGAGCAACACUGGCAAAAUGUGUAAAAACUAAGAUAAUGGAAAGAGAUGAAUAAUGGAAAUGGUGAUGGAGGAAGCAUACAGUUUUUCUUUGCCUCUAAGAUGAUUAUUGAAUAAUUCUGAUAGAAUAUUGCCUGUAUUCAUUUCAAUAGAAUAGAGAAUAAAGAAGGAUCUGUGUUUCUGGAAUUAAAAAUAUUGUGGACCUUCAUGAUUUUUUGUGAUUUGUCAGGUGAAUAGUUUAUUAUGUCAGAAGGCAUUAUUGUAUGAUGGUUUAAAGAAUGGACUUUGGAGACAGCCAAGAGCUCAAAUCCUGGCUCUCCAACUUCCUAUUAUGCUUAUGAUCUUGGCAAUGAAGUAUCAGAGCCACCUCCUACUGGCUCAUGAUAGCUGAUUAUGUGCACCUCUUCCCAACAUCAUGUUCACUGACAUCACACUGGUAAUUUGAAAUCAGCCAAGUUGAGAUUAGUUACAUUGCAAAAACUGGCAAACCAUAAAAAUCAGGGCUUUUCCCCUCAAUGUUCCAGCUUAUCAGCACACCCCUGGACCUUGGGCAAUUCCCUAAUCCUUCUGAGCUUUAGUUUUUUCAUCUGAGAAGAAAAAAUAAAUAUGGCAAGUCCUCACAAUAUUCUGCAGACCUUUCCAUGGGUGAUAUAUUUCACAUGAUGCCUGGUAACUAGUAUAAACAUCAAUAAUGGUAGCACUCUAGUAAUUUAAUUCAGCCUAUUACACAAAACACUGAGCCAUUUUGCCUUUCUAACACACUGGAAAGCAUUUCAAUUAGUUCAUCAAAAUUCCAGAAGAGAAGUAUUUAUAAAAAUUAUUCUACUGACUUUACAGAUGGAAGGAUUUAUUCUAUAUGUUUUUAGAUUUUGUAAAGAAGACAAUUGCUAAUAGUUACUUAGUAAAAUUUCUUCUGUAUGAUAAGUUUUAAAAAGUUACUUCUGUUUCCUACAGUGACUUAUAUCUGAAGGGCGUCCUUUGGGGUUUUAGCCCACCAUCCCCUAAAUCAGAUUAAAUUCAUGGCUUUAGCUCUUCAAAAUUUGUUGAUAAGGUAAUAUAAAGACUGAUGUUGGUUGUAUACCCCACUGUUUGGAAAGCUCAAACAGAAAAUUCUGAGCCACAGGCCACUAUGUCUAUCAAGAUGACAGGCAGUAUGUAUACCUUGAAACUUUGAAGGUAGGCACUGCAGGAAUAAGGAAUUUAAGAAAAGAUUAAACAGCCUAGAGAUAACCCUGCUUAGUUGCCUACUUAACAACUCUCUCAUCUUGGUAUUCUUCAAUAUGGAUUUAUUCUUAAGAUCUUUGCUUCAUAUCUUCGGCCUUGGAAUAUAAUUCUUCAUAAUGUUUUAAUAUAAGUUAUAUCUACCCUGUUUCCACUAUAGCCUACAAAGUAUGAAGAUCAUUUUCCUGUUAAAAUUAUUAAGUUGAAUUGUAAUGUCCUUUAGUAUUUCAAAGACUUCAUGGUAAAUUGCUUACAAAGAUGACUAAAAUAAUCUUUCCCAUCCCUGUCUGCACACACAUUUUGUGCUAUGAUUUUGCUAUUUCUUUCAUCAAGAGCUAAAGUUUCUCUACCCCUUCAAUCCAGGCUUUGUCAAGUGGCUUGCCUUGGCCAAUAAGACGUUAGAAAACAAGAUGAACAUAGAAAUUUGACAAGCACUUGUACAUCUAGGCUUACUGUUUUGCUGUCCUACGACUGACAUAUGAAGAAGCUUGAGCUAGCGUCCUGGAGGAUGAGAGACCACAGGAGGAUAGAGAUGAGCCAUGCCAGCUAAGGUUCUCUAGACUCACCAACUUCUAAAGAGCAGGAAAAAUGUGCAAGGCCAUUCUAUAUUAUGUAGCCUUCGAUGACCUCUCUGCUAACUGGAUAAUCAACUUAUCAUUGCACAGAAUCAGAAGCAAAAUAGAAUAGUUGUUGUAUGAAGCCAGGGGUCAGUCAAAAAAUGCAUGCGUUUUUUCAGGGUCAAUAAUCUCUUUUACGGCAAAAACAAUACCAUUUCAGUUUGUAUUUCUAAAGUACAAUUAUGGGCACUGCUAGCUGUACAUCAAUAUUUCUUUUUCCCUUUUUUUCCAUAGUAAUACAUUUGGUGUCAGGCUUAAAGACACUCUGUCAGAGAUUACAUCCACGAGCCAGAUUCUCAGUUGUGUGUGACCAGAGGAUGACGUUUUCAUUUCUGAACUAUGAAUGAAAAUGAUGGGAUCUUCCCAAGCCAUGGAUCAGACCUGGGUUCUCCUGCACUGCAGGUAGAUUCUUUCCCAUCUGAGCCACCAG